GCAAGGAAUCUUGCGCAAUGGGCGAAAGCCUGACGCAGCGACGCCGCGUGGGGGAUGAAGGCCUUCGGGUUGUAAACCCCUUUUCCCGGGGAAGAAUAAUGACGGUACCCGGGGAAUAAGUCACGGCUAACUACGUGCCAGCAGCCGCGGUAAUACGUAGGUGGCUAACGUUAUCCGGAUUUACUGGGCGUAAAGAAGGCGCGGGCGGCACCUUAAGUCGGGUGUGAAAUCUCCGGACUCAAUCCGGAUAGGUCAUCCGAUACUGAGGAGCUCGAGGGCAGCAGAGGGAGAUGGAAUUCCCGGUGUAGUGGUGAUAUGCGUAGAUAUCGGGAGGAACACCAGUGGCGAAGGCGGUCUCCUAGGCUGUUCCUGACGCUGAGGCCUGAAAGCGUGGGGAGCAAACCGGAUUAGAUACCCGAGUAGUCC
rnacentral:rRNA from 1 species